CAUAGUCGAUGGACAACAGGUUAAUAUUCAUGUACUACCCCUUGUUGGUCUCGAGGGACAGAGGAGGCUAGGUUAGCUGAAACAUGGUUAUCGAUUCAAGGACGCAAGGUGACCCUGCAUUUUUCAGGGUAAGAAGGGGUAGAGAAAAAUCCUCGAGCCAAUGUCUAAGUACCAAGUGCUACAGUGCUGAAGUAAUCCAUGCUAUACUCCUAGGAAAAGCUCGAACAACCUUUAACAAAUGGUAACCUGUACCCAAAACGUACACAGGUAGGUAGGUAGAGAAUAACUAGGGGCACGAGAAAACUCUCUCUAAGGAACUUGGCAAAAUAGCCUCGUAAGUUCGGAAGAAGGGGUGCCUCCUCAGGAGGUCAUAGUGACUAGGCUCGAGUGACUGUUUACCAAAAAAACAGGUCUCUGCAAAGUCAUAAUACCAUGUAUGGGGGCUAAUGCCUACCCAGUGCCAGAAGGUUAAGGAAGUUGGUGACUUGAUGAUGGGGAAGUCAAUGAUCGAAGCCCUAGUGAAUGGCGGACGUAACUAUAAUGGUCCUAAGGUAGAUAAAUUCCUUCUCGAGUAAGUUCCAACCUAUACGAAAGGCGUAAUGAUCUGGGCAUUUUCUCGGAGAGAGACUCAGUGAAAUAGACAUGUCUGUGAAGAUGUGAACUACCUGUACCUGAACAAAAAGACCUUAUAAAGCUUUGCUAUUCCCUGGGAUUGUCUUUGGGUUCUUCUUGCGCAACUUAGGUGGAAGGCGAAGAAGGAUCCCUCUUAGGGGGGCCUGAGCCAUUAGUGAUAUACCACUCUGGAAGAGCUAGAAUUCUAACUUUGUGUCAGGACCUACGGGCCAAGGGACAGUCUCAGGUAGAUAGUUUCUAUGGGGUGUAGGCCUCCCAAAAGGUAACGGAGGCGUGCAAAGGUUUCCUUAGGCUGGACGGAAAUUGACCCUCAAGUGCAAAGGAAAAAGGGAGCUUGACUGCAAGACCCACCCAUCGAGCAGGGACACAAUUCUCCCUUAGUGAUCCAAUGGUACCAAGUGGAAGGGUCGUCGCUCAAUGGAUAAAAGUUACUCUAGGGAUAACAGGUUGAUUUUUCCCAAGAGUUCGCAUCGACGGGAAGGUUUGGCACUUCUAUGUCAUCUCUUCACCACCUGGGGAGGUAGUACAUUCCAAGGGUUGGGUUGUUCUCCCAUUAAAGUGGUACAUGAGUUGGGUUCAGAAUGUUGUGAGGCAAUUUGGUCCAUAUUCGGUGUGGCCAUUAGAGCAUUGAGAGGACCUUUCCCUAGUACGAGAGGACCGAGAAGGAUGCACCUCUGCUGUUAUCAUGCCCACGGUAGACAUUGGGUAGCCAAGUGCAGAGAGGAUAACUACUGAAAGCAUAUAAGUAGGAAUCCCACCCUAAGAUGAGUGCUCUCCUAUUCUUACUUCCUUGAGAGACCUAGUCAUGAACAGGGCUGGGACAACGACAGGUUCUCUGUCCUUGUAGGGGAUGGAGCGAAAAAGGUAUUGAGAAUCCAAGAUUAGGUCACGGUGAUAUGAGCCGUUUAUCAUUAUGAUAGGUGUCAAGUGGAAGUGCAGUGAUGUAUGCAGCUGAGGCAUCCUAACAGACCGAGAGAUUUGAACCU
rfam:Picea glauca, whole genome shotgun sequence.